UACGUAGGGUGCGAGCGUUGUCCGGAAUUAUUGGGCGUAAAGAGCUCGUAGGCGGUGUGUCGCGUCGGUCGUGAAAACUUGGGGCUUAACUCUGAGCUUGCGGUCGAUACGGGCAUCACUGGAGUUCGGCAGGGGAGACUGGAAUUCCUGGUGUAGCGGUGAAAUGCGCAGAUAUCAGGAGGAACACCGGUGGCGAAGGCGGGUCUCUGGGCCGAUACUGACGCUGAGGAGCGAAAGCGUGGGUAGCAAACAGG
rnacentral:rRNA from 1 species